AUAUUCCCAAAUUCCUACAUCCCCAAAUUCCUGUAACCUCAAAUUCCUAAAUCCCCUAACCCAGAGUGUCAAAGUCCCCUAAUCUAGAUAACAGCACGUGCCAAGCAUGACAACGGACCCUUCAAAGCAGCCACGUGCUUUUAUUUACCUGUGGUUCGAUUAGGUGGCCCGCGCGUGGGUACAAACGAUAGAAUCAGGGUGUAACGAACCGUGGGUCGCACCGGGCUCGUUCUUAACUUUGACAAGCGUAUUACACCAUAGCUUGUGAUCAAGACAUCCCUGGGAAAGAGAUAAUCGACCGCUUCGAACACGUUUCUUUGCUGCCGGUUACGUCACCUGUUGUUUAUUCUGCUUUGUGAAGUCCGCCAGAAAGCAAAUUGAACGACGAGCAAUGAAUUAAUUUUAUGUUCUUGUACGGGACGUUUUUAAAACGAGGAAUAUUAUUCGACUCGAUUACUUGGAACAUUUUAUUAUCAUUGUAUGAUGUCAUCAAUGACGUAAGAUUCGAUAUCGAGCGAAUCUUCGUCGACGUUCUGAAACGAGAACGUCUUUCAUGUUCGCUACAAUUGGUCCUUACUUUGUUUAGAAAUUGGGGUUAGUUUAUUUCAUCUUCGGUUCAUGUAUGAUUGAGGUGGGUUAGGUUAGGUCUGGUAGGUUAGGUGAGCUCAGUUAACUACUUUGAGCUACUUCCUUCAAUGAUCAGUUAAUUAACUUUUGAGGUAGGUUAAGUCUGUUUGUUCAGUUAGGCCAAUGGUUGAGUUGUCUAAUUGAAAUUAAUGAACUUGGUUGGAUACAUUAGGUGACUGAGUGAUUCAAGGUUAAAUUGAUUCAAUUGCUUUAAUGUAAUAGAGUGAUUUGUAUAAUGUAAUAUGUAGUUGAUUAUAAAUGCCAACAUAACAAUUGUCACUUACUUAAAUUUGUCAGAAAGCGUCUUUUAUAUCCACAUUAAAUUUUCAGGUCACCAGCGCCGAUUUAUUGAAAAGAAACGAUCGACAUCGAUAUGUAGUCUCGUCCAACAGUACGGUGUAUUUCUGGAUAGUGAGUCACCGCGUUUCUCCGCCACGUGCUUUCUCCGUCAUUGAGUCACGAACCAGAAGACGACGUUCUCAUCGUAGUACACGGUGUCUCGAAAUAACAAUUACAGCAAUUCAUAAAACCGACGAUUCCGAUUGCGCACGAAAGGUGCAGUCAAAGUUGAGCAUUGUCAAAUGAUUAUCGUGCACGAACAAUAAUCGAAACAAUUCCUUCAAACGACUCUGACUGCUAGAACGCGAGGGUCGCGAGGCAACAUUCUCGCGUGUCAUCAAGAUGGUGAGCUAUAGAAACGAGGAUUUGUCGCUGGGACGCUAGACAAUGGACUAUUAGGGCAGUUUCGUGGUAAGCUGCUCGACAGAGCCUCUCUUCGUCGCUCUUUGUGCCACUAGAGAAGGGGACGGUGAGGGUGGUAGAAACGUGGAGGGCUUGUCGAGGGUGCUCGACGCACACCCACACACCCUCCCCACCUCCUGUGCCCGUUCCUUUUUCAUACCUAUUUGCUCUAUCGUUGCUCGAAUCGUGGCUGCCGCUGGUUGUUGGCUGCUUUGUGGCCGAAACUCCCUGGAAAUUCCUCUUUGUGCAUCACCUCCUUCAAAACGUCUGCCUCGUCCUGGAUUUCAUUCUUUUCCAACCGGAGAUGUUGAUUCAGGCUGAUGUUCCAACGAUUUUUUCGGGUCAUUAAGUGUUGGGCUUGUUAAUGGAACUCAGUUGGAAAUCCUCAAGAUUCUCUCUUCAUCAUUUGUACCUUUGGUUACUUGAGGUAUGAUUGGUAUGAUUAGCUAAGGGUAAUAGCUGGAAUUGAUUAGUCAUAUUUCUUAAAAGUGACACCUCAGAUGUAACUGGAAUUCUGAAGAUAUCCUUUAUCGUUAUUUAAUGAGUACAUGGUCGAAAUCAGUGUCAUAUUUAAUUCAAUUUGAAUAUUUGAUAACGUUGGAACCAGAGGAAGGACUAAUUUGGUGGUUGGCGGAUGUGGUGUCCAAAUUAAGUCCACAUAAGUCAUUUAUUUAAGGAUGUGGUCUUCUGGUUCCGGAAUCUUAUCCUAAUUAUUUAGAAAAUACUUUAAUGACGCACUAACAGUUAGUAAUAAAAGAACCAUUAAUUAAGUCAUCAACCAGACACACUAUUUUAUAAUGCAUUCUUAGUUUUCAUUCUCCACAAUUUUCCAGGAGUGGGUGGAAGUAAUUUACAGAUUUUCUUUGUAUUCCACAGAAUUUCCCAGAAGCCUUUAGAAUUCUCCACGGGAAACCCAACUAGAAUUCCAAUUUCUUUAAACGCCACCAUUAGUGCAACAAGAAUAUCAAAGAAUCAACUUGCAUCGUUCAUUAAUUCGUCGCAAGAAGAAGAGGAAUCACCUACGUGACGAGCAUCCCGACGUUUUUCAUGCUUUUCCUCGCGUCUCGGUACUCUUUGAAGAAACUGGAUCCUCGACUUUAUUAAGUCAUUAAAUCUGACCGAACAUCAAUCUUCUCUACCCAUCUUCAACGCUUUAAACCGCCAUAAAAUUUCAUUCUAAUAGUACAUAAGAUCAUAUUAACCUGAGUGAAAUUAGUACGUGUCAAACUAUCUUUCACGUCUGAUCAAUUAUGUUCCUAACAUUCGCAACGUGUUAAGCAAAAUCACACACAGGAUUCUUAACGUGUUACAAAAUGAAACAGUAAUAUGUUUGAAUGUGAGAGAAGAAGAUGAAGUCUGGAAUUAAAUUGACAGAUCAGUAAACCAUCUUCACUGUCAAAUUGCUAACAAACAUAAUUUAAAAUUAUACGCCAUCAAAUUUGUAUAAAAUACCAUAUCAGAAUCCAAAGCCUCUACUGUUUGAACAAAAGAUUGGGGUCUGAAGCAUCCCCAACAUUAUUUGACCCAAAGGGUAUCAUUUUCAUUGAAAACAUGGCUGACCGAUCCAAAGAGGUGUCUCAUGUCCACUUAACCUCUGUCAACUGCGAAAACGGGGUCUUGAGCCCUCUGAAAUCUUUGGAAACAUCCCUCGAGUUUAAGGGAGAAGCACGUUGGCCAUUACGAAAACGAAAAUAUCCCGGUUUCAGGCUGGAAUAAAAGCCGGUAGAAAAAUCCACGUACAACUUAAGAUUGCAUUGGUGGGAGUUGAGUGACAAGUAACAGAAGAGCUGUAGGUUCUGGUUUGGCCUCGUAUCGGCAGGAGGAGAGGGUGCGCCUGUUUGGCAAAAGCAAACAAUCCAUCGAGAGACCCAUAUUCUCUGAUCCAGAAUAGAUCGAAACGUUCUCAAAUACUUCGAAAUCUAUCGCUCUUCUGAUAAACUCAUGGAAUUAAUAUUGAAUCUACCGAGAUUGAUUAGGAAUAAGUCAUUGUUUUCGAUCAGGUAGUCGUCGGAGUUAGAUUGUAAUUACAUGUAUGAAUAAGCCAUGCGGAUUUAUUUCUGUCUAGCCAGUUCGACGCGAAGUCGAGAACAAAGAGUGAGCUGUGGAUUUUGAGAUGUGAAAAGCUUAAGAAAAGUUGAGAAGUUCUGAAGCAUACAAAAUUCUGAAGAAUACAAAAUUGAUUAAGCAAUGGAAAAUAAUGUAAAAUAUAAAUUAGUUAAGAUCUUUUUCAUUAAUUGGAACAUUUUGGAGGAAGUACAGGGAAGACCCAAAAAGUCACAAUUGGAAAAACGAUGAUGGAGAAUAAAAGCUGUUAAGUGGGUAACUGAGCUUUCUAAUUUGUCGAGUCGCCUCGAGUUUCACCGCGAGGGGUGAGAAGCAGAGAAAAUGGGGGAAAAUUGUCUGGCAAACCGCUGGGGGUGCAAAAAGGAGGGUGAAAGAGACAGAGACUCGAACACGGUUAACCGACGUAUUUAGGAGUACUGGAGUUGGAAAAGUUUCAAGAAAAAUGGCAAAUUCAGAAGUCAUGGAAAGUUUGUAAAAGUUAUUGAAACUGGAAAUUUCAAAGACAAUGGAAAAAUUUGGAAUUCUGGAAGAUUUGUAGAAGCUAUGGAAAGUUUGUGAAGAUUGAGUCUUAGCAAAUGGAAAGUUAAAAUGAUUUUGAUGCCUUGAAAGGUUAUGGAAGACUGUUCAAAAUCCUUUAAAAAAUACUAGGUACUACUAAAGUACUGCAAGCUCACAGGAAAUUACUGAAAUCAUGCAAAAUCAUAAUAGGUCUAACAAAUGGAAAAUUGUAAACAAAUUAACAACAAUUUACCGCGAUGAACUAAUUGAGUCUAGGUAAAAAAAUUUGCUUAAUUGAUACUUCCCCAAUCACGAGUUGGACAAUUGAAAAGGCCAGUUCGGUUGAAAUCCUCAUCGACAUCUGACGUAGUGCCGGAAGCGUUAUUUUUUCCCCUCGGCGGAACAAGACGUGUAGUUUCGAUGUGUGACGCGUGACUGGCAGAUCGCAGCCCGAGGCCCGAUUUUUUUCGCGAACCAGAACGUUUCUUCACGGGAAGUCGGCACCACCAUGAUUUCCGCAAUUUCACCCUUUUCAGAGGAUUGCAAACGGUACUUGUCUCCCACCGGCCGAUAUUAAAGUUCAUAUAAGAUGAUCCGCUUCGGGAUCUUAUCCCCUUUCCUCUUUCUAUGACCUGGGAAUCAACACGUGACCAUGGUUCUUAGCGCACCUCCCUCGGGGGAUUCGUCUGGGCGAUCUCGACGGCUCGUGUUGCGUUGUGAUCAGAAUGGUCUUCAGGAAUUCUAGAUCAUAGGUUGACUUUCAGCUUUAGAUCAUGAAGUGACUUUAGGUUAGGUAGGAUCUAGGACUUGAACCUAACUUGGUGACUGUAUUUCAGUAUUUGUAAUUUAAAAAGUGGGUAUAUGACAAGGUACAAGGUCAGCUUUAGAUCAUACAGUGACUUUAGGUUAGGUAGGAUUUUUGUCUAAGGCUUGAACCUAACUUGGUGACUGUAUUUCAGUAUUUGUAAUUUAAAAAGUGGGUAUAUGACAAGGUACAAGGUCAGCUUUAGAUCAUACAGUGACUUUAGGUUAGGUAGGAUUUUUGUCUAGGGCUUGAACCUAACUUGGUGACUGUAUUUCAGUAUUUGUAAUUUAAGAUGUGGGUAUAUGACAAGGUACAAGGUCAGCUUUAGAUCAUACAGUGACUUUAGGUUAGGUAGGAUUUUUGUCUAUGGCUUGAACCUAACUUGGUGACUGUAUUUCAUUAUUCAUAAUUUAAGAAUGUGGGUGUAUGCCAAGGUACAAGGUCAGCUUUGGAUCAUACAGUGACUUUAGGUUAGGUAGGAUUUUUUUCUACGGCUUGAACCUAACUUGGUGACUGUAUUUCAGUAUUCAUAAUUUAAGAAUGUGGGUGUAUCACAAGGUACUAAGAGAUGGAGUGAUAAAUAGUCUCAGAGUGUUCUAAACAUGUUUAGAUUCUUCAAUAUUAAACAGUCCUAGUCAGGAUUAAACAGUGCCAAAGUCUUCAAGAUUAGAGAGUACCAGUCCCAUAGUCCCAUAGUCUUCAAGAUUAAGUUCCAGAAUCUUCAGCUAGCAGUUGCAGAAACUUCAGGAUUACCAGCUCCAAAGUUCUCAAGAUUAAACAGUAAAGUGAGGAUGUUGCUAAAAAGGUCAUAAACUUUCAGGUCCUCAUGGUCCACCAUAGGCCUCACCCUUCCAUCAGACUGUGCUUCAAAUUAACGUCCCUCUUCUUCGCCUGGAAUACCUGUCCACGUUCCACUGGCGGCAAAAGUCGGUUCUCGAAGGCUGUUAAAAUGCAAAGGCGCCCCCUGGCUCUCCGCAAGAUUCGGCAGGCGUGUGUGCUCCUUAGUAUUCCGCCCGGCGACGGCCCUCUUUUCCGCGCCUAGAGUUCUUCCGCUCCGCUCUCCUCUCGCGGCUUGCCCGCGCGUGGCAUGCUCGUCGCAUUAAUAUAGCACGGCUUAAGACAAAGAACGAUCGGACCUGGUCCUACCUUCGCUACUUCUCCACGGCCGCCGACUCGUCUUCCAGCGAUGGACGUAUAUUUUCGUUAAGUUGAAGCCUCCGGGAAAGUCCUUCGAAUUGGGGGAUUUCUUUCUCUCCGCCUCGCGGAACGUGCCGGGUCUUGACCUUUGAGAGACGUUCCAUACCUGAUCCUGGGCCGCCAUAUUUCACCUGGAGCCUCUGCUCCGAUCUCCCUGUGAUCAAACUGUCUUAGACAGACAGGUGCCCGUGAACGUUUGAGUAGCCUAAUAUUGAUGUAGGUUAGGGUGGAUGCAGCGGGUCGAAAGUCUUCUAGGAGGACGCAUGUGCAGUGUUAUAAACGAGGUACAAUCUUAAAACAGUUACCAGCUUCAUUGAUAUGAAGUAUCUUCAGCUACCCUCCAUGUAGUUUGAAGCGUACCCUCAUAUGAAGCUAGCAGCAGAAUAGCUCUGGGAUGCUGUACGAGGUUCAUGGAGCUGCGUACCUAUGUGUGUCAUACUCCACUUUUAUAAAGUCUAGGGCAAUAAAUGACUGUUAUAAAGCUAAAUAGAGUAUUCGAUCAUUACAAUAGCUCAAAGAGACCAACAAAGAAAGCAGAGGACUUCAUAUGGUUGAAUAACCUGAGCACAUGUCUAUUGUGAAGUCACAUGUGCCUCGAGUUUACAGAAGGUCUACUGUCUAUGCCACUAGUCUUCAUAGAGACUUCUUAAUUACAUGAGAAUGAAAACAAGGUGUGCUAUCCAGGGUGAUCUAAUUUGAAGUACUGCGCAAUAUGUCGCCAUUUUGGAUAUACAACGUCAUUUUAUAAUCAAGAUUAUAUUUUUGAAAUUAUAACUAGAAGAUAAAGAUGUAUUCUCUUCUCAUUAUGAGAGAUGACCGUGCCGGGUAAUAAUUAUCCGUUUGUUUGUUUCCAGCAAGAAAAGUUAGUGGAAUCGUUAUAGCGAGCUGCAUCAGCUUUGAAACGUUUUUAGUCGCGUUUCUUGGCUGCAUUAUGCAAUCGACACGUGCAGGCAAACUGCAAACGGAGUUUAACGACACAGACAGCAGAGGAGAGGCGCGAGACUUAUUUUUCAGGACCAGUUCUCCACGAGCGGUGACUCAUCGUGCUGGACUCAUUUUUGCACCGAGUUUAACGACCCUUAGCUCCUUCCUCUUUUACCUGCCUCUUUCUUCAGGGACUUUCGAGCCUUGCAACCUGUUCCAAAAUGAGGUUUCUGAUUUCGAAAUAUCACUGAUAGAGGACGUGAAAUUGAUAUGGCAAUUUUAAGCCAGUUCUUCAGGGUUACGUUCAACAAAUGAUACGUAAUGAUAUCAAAGAAAUAGCGUCAGUAUUUAUGACAGUUGUGGAAGCAUCAUGGGGGUUGUUUGAAGCAGUCAAAUAAGGGAGGAUCAAAGAAGCGAUAGGUCGCGUGAAAUUGACCGACAGUUUGCGGUGGGUGGAGUGUCGGUGUUUGGCUGCAAGUUUGUCCCCGAGAAGCUUCAAAGUUCCGAGGACGAAUUUCCCGCUGGCCACUUAACCUGCCCCGACACGUAUUUCCCAUGCAUUUUAAGGAUUUCGGACACCGCGGGCCCCGCUGUUUUGUCGAAGUAUGAGCACGUAGUUGUCGUGAAAGGAUCAUAGAGUGGACUUAGCCGGGAAAUCCCGUGUAAAACUUGCCUGGAAUAACAAAGUCUCGUCUCGAAGCUCGUUCAUGCCACCCUGUACGACCCGCCAUACUAUUCUUCCCCCCCUUUUGCUCUUUUAUGGACAUUUACGAUUCGUGAUCUUUAAUGGGUUCAUUGACACCCCUACUCUUUGAUUAGAAUUACAAUUCUUAUUCUUUUAGGUUGCUGAACACUUGGAAAGACUAUAUAACGGAUGAGGCGAUAUAACAGGAGUGUAGCGUAUAGUAGCACGUGAAGUACACGAAGAAGUGAUGUAUGGAAGUCUAAUGUAUGUGGAUGUGUGAGAAUCUAACAUGUAGGGACACAAUACAUGGCGAUAUAGCGCGUGGCAGUAUAAUCUUUGAUGGUACAAGCAUUUUAUCGCGAAGAGAAACAUCUAAAGACCACCCAUUCGCAGCUCUUCGAGCGAAACAAGUUCCUUGAAACGUUGCGUUUCGGAGGCUCCAAAAACGUGAAGCUUUCAGCGUUUCUCGAGCAGAAAUUCCGACGUUGAAGAGGUCACGAACAUAACGAGCUUGAAACAGUCGUCGAACGUUGCAGGAUGCGUGACGAGUUAUCGUGGAUUUAUCUUGUUUGAGCGUGUCCACGUUUCCGUGAUUUCGUGAAAACGCCGGAUGAAUGCAGCUUCGGAUAAGAAUGAGCGAUUGACAGUGUACACUUGAGACUCAGUUAACUUAACCCAAUUCAGGAUCAAUGUAAAUUUAUUGAAGGUUAUGUAAAAUGAAUCUAACUUAGGUGACUCAAUGUAAUUUACAUGAACUGAAACUUCAUUUGAAUCACUUCAGUAAAUUUAUUGAAGGUUAUGUAAAAUGAAUCUAACUUAGGUGACUCAAUGUAAUUUACAUGAACUGAAACUUCAUUUGAAUCACUUCAGUAAAUUUAUUGAAGGUUAUGUAAAAUGAAUCUAACUUAGGUGACUCAAUGUAAUUUACAUGAACUGAAACUUCAUUUGAAUCACUUCAGUAAAUUUAUUGAAGGUUAUGUAAAAUGAAUCUAACUUAGGUGACUCAAUGUAAUUUACAUGAACUGAAACUUCAUUUGAAUCACUUCAGUAAAUUUAUUGAAGGUUAUGUAAAAUGAAUCUAACUUAGGUGACUCAAUGUAAUUUACAUGAACUGAAACUUCAUUUGAAUCACUUCAGUAAAUUUAUUGAAGGUUAUGUAAAAUGAAUCUAACUUAGGUGACUCAAUGUAAUUUACAUGAACUGAAACUUCAUUUGAAUCACUUCAGUAAAUUUAUUGAAGGUUAUGUAAAAUGAAUCUAACUUAGGUGACUCAAUGUAAUUUACAUGAACUGAAACUUCAUUUGAAUCACUUCAGUAAAUUUAUUGAAGGUUAUGUAAAAUGAAUCUAACUUAGGUGACUCAAUGUAAUUUACAUGAACUGAAACUUCAUUUGAAUCACUUCAGUAAAUUUAUUGAAGGUUAUGUAAAAUGAAUCUAACUUAGGUGACUCAAUGUAAUUUACAUGAACUGAAACUUCAUUUGAAUCACUUCAGUAAAUUUAUUGAAGGUUAUGUAAAAUGAAUCUAACUUAGGUGACUCAAUGUAAUUUACAUGAACUGAAACUUCAUUUGAAUCACUUCAGUAAAUUUAUUGAAGGUUAUGUAAAAUGAAUCUAACUUAGGUGACUCAAUGUAAUUUACAUGAACUGAAACUUCAUUUGAAUCACUUCAGUAAAUUUAUUGAAGGUUAUGUAAAAUGAAUCUAACUUAGGUGACUCAAUGUAAUUUACAUGAACUGAAACUUCAUUUGAAUCACUUCAGUAAAUUUAUUGAAGGUUAUGUAAAAUGAAUCUAACUUAGGUGACUCAAUGUAAUUUACAUGAACUGAAACUUCAUUUGAAUCACUUCAGUAAAUUUAUUGAAGGUUAUGUAAAAUGAAUCUAACUUAGGUGACUCAAUGUAAUUUACAUGAACUGAAACUUCAUUUGAAUCACUUCAGUAAAUUUAUUGAAGGUUAUGUAAAAUGAAUCUAACUUAGGUGACUCAAUGUAAUUUACAUGAACUGAAACUUCAUUUGAAUCACUUCAGUAAAUUUAUUGAAGGUUAUGUAAAAUGAAUCUAACUUAGGUGACUCAAUGUAAUUUACAUGAACUGAAACUUCAUUUGAAUCACUUCAGUAAAUUUAUUGAAGGUUAUGUAAAAUGAAUCUAACUUAGGUGACUCAAUGUAAUUUACAUGAACUGAAACUUCAUUUGAAUCACUUCAGUAAAUUUAUUGAAGGUUAUGUAAAAUGAAUCUAAUUUAGGUGACUCAAUGUAAUUUAUAUGAACUGAAACUUCAUUUAAAUCAAGGUGAAUGUACCUGACAAUCUAACUUAACUGAAUCUAACUUAAGCACUAACUAACUUAAUCCAGCACUGUUAGUUGAACUGAAAUGUCCUUAAAAUUGAAUGAGUGUUUAAGCGAGUCUAAUUAUAGUCCGGUUAGAAUAGAAAUUAAAGGCGUUAGGUCGUGUCAUUAUCCUCGACGAGGCGUCGGUCGUGGUUACAUAAUGGGUGUACACGAUGUGUCUCAUCCUACGCGUGGAACCGCGCGGACAAACGUGGAUUGUUUCGCGUGCGCUUUAACGAACGCGUGAACGUAAUAAUACAUUCCGUCUGAACCGAUUUAAGCUUCAUUAACGCGAUGCACGAGCAGGAAAACCGCGUCGGUACUUCCGGUCACGCGCUGCACCAAGGCGCAUCUCGUGCCUUGUGCACGCGUCUGGUGCAUUGGAACGCUAAAUAUUAGCUUUUAUUGGACGUAUCCGCCAGAUGGUUACUUUUUUCGUUGUCUACUUUUUGCAACACUGAUUCGACGUCAUCUCUGGGAGAUGUUAAAUCAUUAACCUACGUGUCUUUAAAAUUAUAUUUAUAUUCUCUCUAGGUCUCUUUAGGUCUCUUCUCUAGGUUCAGUUCAAUAGCAUGUUAGCUUAAAUUGAGUCUAAGUUCAUCUUUCGUUGAGUCCACAAGUUACUUGAACUUGCAUUAAACCUUGAGUAGAUUCAACUUAAUUUUUUAUCGAAGUUCAACUUUUCUGUAAUUUAUGUGGACUUAAAUGAUUUAUCCUCUACAUGAAUUGCAAGUCAAGAGCAAACCGAAAUCUCCAAUAUCCCGCGAUCCGUCAUAAAACUAGGACACUAGGACAGUAACGAUCCUUGAAGAACGCUUUAUAUCUCUUCAGGACCGUUUGAUUCGACGAAGGGUCACGUAGGGUCCCUGAGGAGAUAUCCAGUUUGUUAUUCCUGUAGCACAAUAUCGAUACACGGUCGCGUUGCAUAAGCUCGUCAGCCGUUUUCUUUCUCUAACGAUACUUUAUUUCACCGCGUCUGCUCGCGCGAAGCAGGGGCGUCGUUGACCCAUGACUCGUUGAAUUCUGGCCAGCUUGUUGCGAAUCACGGCGGUGCCGGUCGAUUCUGAAUUUAUAUCGCGUGUUUAGGUGAGAAUUGGUUCUUUAUGAGCGGCACGUGAGCACACUUGCCGAUAUACAGACUGAUUUGUAGCGAUGGAGAGGGUGGAUGCUCGGGAACAUCUUCGGAUUACGUUUCUUUCGGCUUUUGUCGAAUGCUUUCAAGGUGUUCUGUAAUGAGAGUUAAAACCUUGAACAAAGUUGUAUGUCCUUGACAUGAUUCUCGCGAGUAAAUGUGACACGCCUGGCACAUUAAUCUUAAAUUUAUAACUUGAUAAAUAUGUGAUUUUAUUUAUAAUAAAAAAUUGCAAGA